rnacentral:siRNA from 1 species
UCUUUCCACACUGCAAGUGGAG